GGAAGCGGCCGUUGCCAUGGAUCCUGCAGACGACUGGCUGGUGGACUCCUUGCGCUUGUAAAUCGUACCAGGAUUUCUAUGCAUUCGACCUCUCAGGAGCGACUCGAGUCCUUGAAUGGAUUGAUGACAAAGGUGGUAUACCUUCCUGGCCUGAAGGAGAGGGAAUCUCACUCCUGAGCUGGGUUUCAGGAGCUAAGCCUAGAGGGACCCAACCCACUCUUCUGGGCACCUGAGAGUCACUUGGAGCAAUUUGAUGCCUCAUCAGCACUAAUAUUCCUCUUAUUAAGAUCUCUGACCGGGAGCAGUGGUUCACGCCUGUAAUCCCAGCACUUUGGGAGGCCGAGGAAGGCGGAUCACCUGAGGUCAGGAGUUCGAGACCAGUCUGGCCAACAUGGUGAAACCCCGUCUCUACUGAAAAUACGAAAAUUAGCCGGGUGAGGUGGUGCACACCUGUGUACCACCAGCUACUGGGGAGGCUGAGGCAGGAGAAUCACUUGAACCCAGGAGGUAGAGGUUGCAGUGAACCGAGAUCACGACACUGCAUUCCAGCGUGGCUAACAAAAAACGUCUUCAGGCUGGGC
rnacentral:sRNA from 1 species